CCGAUACAUCCACAUGUGUAACAAAUUUCAGGGAGUUCCUCAUAAAUAAAUUGUUACCAGAGACAAGCAUCAUGUCCCCAAAUCCUAGCCCCUUGGCAUACAGUCUUUUUCCGAUCUAGAAGCACAUAGACACAUGCAUACCCCAUUCUGGUGGAAUUGAUGGUCUAAUCAUCCAAAAAACAAAGGUUUUCCCGCCUUAGUUGCAACCUUUCUAAUUUUUGUUAGUUCCCAU
rnacentral:lncRNA from 1 species